CUCUUUACUAAUUGAAAACUGACAGCAAAAAUGCCCUCAACCGCAAACAUCUAGAAGAAAAUGGAGACAUUCGGACAGGCUGAAAUACUUUGAGUUUUAUGAGUUCUAAUAAGGUUAAUGAAGGCUCUGGAAAGAAUUUUGUUUCAUGGUGGACUCAACAAAACAAUGAGCUGGGAUCUUGAGUGAUUGGCCGGAGGGGGAGGCCUGGGAGCCUGGGCCUGAUGAGCUGCGGGUCAAGUUGGGUGAGGCCGCGCCACAGCUUCUUUCCACGCUGACGCAACCUUGGUGGAACUUGGACACUAUCUGUUGCUUGGCCUUCAGACUGCUGUCAGUCUCCAGUCGCUUUAUUAAUUUGCUGCUACAAUGAACUAUUACUAAAAGCCUGCUCUUGCCAGGCGCUGUGAUCGCCCUGCAAAGAUGCUGCCUGCCCUUGGAUCUCCAGUGCAAAGUCAAAGAGAAGCAGAGAAAAGGACACCAAGAUCUCCUUGCCCUGGUGUUAUACGCUGUAUAACCUCUUCUCCUUGAGUAUCUUGGAAAAACUAUCCAAAGGAAAGUUUGAAUCUGCAGAGCAAACACCAUUAACCAAGCCCCCAGCUUCCACUGAAGCAAGUGGAGAAAGAAGGAGAAAGAGAAAAUUCCCUGUGUGCGGGAUCUUUGGUAGAUUAGCUCCACAUGAUCAAGAAUUGUGGAACAGGAGCUGUUGCUACUGACCAGCUUCCCUGUGAGACCCAGUUUCCAGCACUCUGGACCAGCACCAAGGUGGCCUCUGUAGGGUGGACACGGCAUCCACUGUCUCCUGCGAGCCACACUGGCUACUCCACUGCCUGCUGCUGGAGUAUUAUCUCGUUCUGUAACCCCAGCCUCUGCGGAAGGUCUCUCCUUCAUGCCCACGUUUGUUCAGCUGGAGCAUUGCCCCUAGCACUUUGAGGAACUGGAGCUGUUCUCAUUGCUUCUGAAGAUUGCAUCCCUGGGAGCUUGGUGACUCCCAGUACCUCUGCCAAGUGCUUCUCAGGGCACUGUCUUUCUGCUUUUCUUCUUUUUUUUCUUAAACUCAUUUUUUACUAGAAAAUUUCAAACAUAUACAAAAGUAGACAGAUUAGUAUAAUGAAUCCCUCAUCUACACAUUACAGAGUUUCAACAACUAUUAACUCAUGCAUGAUUUUGUUUUCCUCGACUUUUGAAUAUUUCAGGCCUGAGGAGCCUUUCUUUCUGUUGCAUCUUUCUCUGCAAUGCUGGAAUAUGUCUUCAUUGUUUCCUGUUCGUCUGCUCUUCCCCUCCUCCUCUGGCAAAGCUCAUUUGCGCUUCUAACAAUUGAACCCUUUUCUUCUCUAAUACACACAAGACUAGAGUUGUUGGCUGGGAGAGAACACCUUUCUUCCUUGUACUUUUUCUUUGCUUUUAAUCCCACACUUUUGUUUUUCUAGUCUAUUCCUUUAGACUCUGUUAG
rnacentral:lncRNA from 1 species